GUAGAAGGGGUUUUCACAGUGAUGGGUGGGGUGGGGCACUGAGAUAUAGAUCCAUACAAAAACCUAAGAGCAAAAACUUUACUCUCUCACACUCUCAUGAUGAUAAAUGAACAGGACAAAAUAUUUGAUCAUUGGAAUAUGAAGUAAACUACUGUGUUUAUCACUUUAAUAAUCAGUUUAGCAAUUAAAAAUACGUCAGGUUUUUGUUCCAGCACUGAGUGGAGAUGCAACACUGUGAUUAUUUCGACUACUGGGGAAGUGGGACUGAAGUCACAGUAUCUUCAGACGCACCUGCACCUUCACACCCAACUCUGUUCCCUUUGGUUAAGUGCGGACCUGAGGAUGCACACAUCACUGUUGGUUGUCUUGCAUACGACUUCUUCCCAAAAAGUCUUACUUUCCAGUGGACCGAUGCCAGUGGGACCACCCUGACUUCUAACCAAUAUCCUCCAAGUUUGAGAAACAACAAAUAUACAGGAGUCAGUUUGCUCCAAGUGUCAAAGAUUGACUGGGCUUCAAAAAAGUCCUUUAAAUGUCUUGUGAAUCACCUUUCACACACCGAGAACGUGACAUUGGUAAAAAAGGGUCCUCCAAGGUUGACUUUGGUAGAAGUGCCAAGCGGAGACGAUCAGUCCCUAGUGUGUACAAUCGAUGAUCUUUUUACAACAGAAUUGACAGUCAAAUGGAAAAAGAAUGGAAUUGAUGUAACUAGCUUCACAAAUUGGCCCCCCCAAAAAAAUGGAGACACAUAUUCAGCUGUCAGUGUUCUGAAAGUCAAGAACACAGACUGGGACAGUAAAGCUGUAUACACAUGUGAGGUGAUGCACCAACAAACAGCAUAUACAAUGACAAACUCUAAAGUUAUCACAAUAAAACUGAACCAAGCAAGUCCCAAAGAAAUGUUCAACAACAACCAGGCAAAGUUGGAGUGUAUCAUUACCGCACCCGACGCUGACACUCUGAAUAAAAUUCGAAUCACUUGGCAAAUUGAUGGAAGUGAUGUGACCAACAACAUCUCUGAAAGAAAUGUUGCCACAAGCAAAAUUAGCACGUUGAUUUGUAGUCACUCUGACUUGAAGAGUAUCAACAACGUGCGCUGUUCUGCCAUUAGUGACGAUAUGGCACCAGUUUUUCAAGAUCUGACUAUCCCCAAAGGAGAUGGGAGCGUGCCAAAAAUAACUGUCCAUGUCCUCCCAGAGGAAGACAUAACUGAAAGAAACCCGGCUGAGGUCACUCUGGUGUGUCUGGUCUCUAGUACUGAGAAGACGGAUUACUACAUCGCCUGGAUGGAACAAACUGGAGGCAACUCUGGCAGCUUUACUGAUGGCGUUAACUUCCCCCCUCAGAAGACCAAACAGGGUUUCUCAGUUACAAGUAUUUACACCACCACCAAGGAGAAGUGGGAAGCACACAGCAUUUUCACCUGCAACGUCUGGCAUGUUGGUAGCAAAAGGCAAACAUCCAGAGAUGUUUCUGUGGCCGUCCAUAACUCGACUACUUAUUUUAAUCCAGAGUCAAAACUGCAUUUUGCUAUGAGCUGCACAGACGAAUCCAUUGACGAGGAUGAGUACAGCAGCCUGUGGUCCACAACCUCCUCCUUCAUAUUCCUCUUCAUAUCCUCUCUCAUUUAUAGCAUGAUAUUCAGCCUGGUCAAGAUGAAGGGACCAUAAGAUGAAAUGGAUGCGAAGCAUGGACUACAGGUCUUCAUUUGUUUUGUUUUUUAUUUUAUAUCUAGUUUUAAAAACAUUUACAUGAGUGGUCGUAAUAUAAUGAUAAACUAAGACACAUAAAAUAAAUGUACAAUCAAUACAAUUGUAAUUCUUAGUCAUUUAGAUGAAUUUGUUUUCCUGCAUUGGCUACUACUGUUGUUACAUUAUGAAUAGAGACGUUAUUGGUUACUUUUCUUGAAGGUUUUUAGUGUCAUUAAAAUGUCUUGGUAAAGUAUUAUUAAUUUUCAUUGAAUAAUAAAUAUCAAAUAACAUUGUA